CUACGGGAGGCUGCAGUGGGGAAUAUUGCACAAUGGGGGAAACCCUGAUGCAGCGACGCCGCGUGAAGGAUGAAGGAUUUCGGUUCGUAAACUUCUAUCAGCAGGGAAGAUAGUGACUGUACCUGACUAAGAAGCCCCGGCUAACUACGUGCCAGCAGCCGCGGUAAUACGUAGGGGGCAAGCGUUAUUCGGAAUUACUGGGUGUAAAGGGUGCGUAGGUGGCUUGUUAAGCCAGAUGUGAAAGCCCGGGGCUCAACCCCGGGACUGCAUUUGGAACUGGCAAGCUAGAAUACAGGAGAGGUAAGUGGAAUUCCUAGUGUAGCGGUGAAAUGCGUAGAUAUUAGGAGGAACACCAGUGGCGAAGGCGACUUACUGGACUGUUAUUGACACUGAGGCACGAAAGCGUGGGGAGCGAACAGGAUUAGAUACCCGAGUAGUC
rnacentral:rRNA from 1 species